rnacentral:rRNA from 1 species
UCGAGAAUCAUUCACAAUGGGGGAAACCCUGAUGAUGCGACGCCGUGUGAGCGAUGAAGGCCUUCGGGUUGUAAAGCUCUUUCGUGAGGGAACAAGAGAGAGAGACUAAUAAUCUUUUAAUUUGAGAGUACCUUAUAAAGAAGCACCGGCUAACUCCGUGCCAGCAGCUGCGGUAAUACGGAGGGUGCAAGCAUUAAUCGGAAUUAUUGGGCGUAAAGGGCGCGUAGGCGGGUAGUUAAGUCAGAUGUGAAAUUUCGGAGCUCAACUUCGAAGCUGCAUUUGAAACUGGCGAUCUAGAGGAUAGGCGGAGAAAACGGAAUUCCACGUGUAGCGGUGAAAUGCGUAGAGAUGUGGAAGAACACCUGUGGCGAAAGCGGUUUUCUAGCUUACACCUGACGCU